CUAGGGGAAAGUUCCCCCAACAAAGUUAGACAAGCCACUUACCUCGAACCGGCUCAAAAAUCAACUAGAAACCACGCCCUUGCCACGAGUAUCAGACUCCAAGUGACCCAAAUCUAUUCAAUUCAAUUACAUAAAGUGAAUAGUACUGCAAACAACUGAUUCCACUAUUAUAUUCAAAACUAGGGCGCGAAAAUAGGUAAAAUGACCAAAGCUCCCCUCAGGCUAACGUCUCGGAAUUAAAUAAUUUUUAUAUUUUCAGAACCCUCGUACUCUCACGAGUCUAACCAUAUAAAAAUCUCUGAAAUCAUAGGUCAAAUGCCCACUCAAAAUCCAAUAGCUAGGGCUAAGAAGUUUUCCCCAAUUUUCAUUCGAAAUUAAAGGAUGAAUUCUUGAUUAGAUUAGUGAGUGUUAGUCAUAGGAGAGUAGAGAAUCAUUCCCGAGUGAUUGCCUUUGAAAAACCUUCGAAAUUGCACCCAAAUCCAAGCUUCCAACCUUGUGUUUUGGUAAAAAUGUCCAACUCUCGGAUUUUUGAGAUGUUUAUACUGCCCAAGUAUUUGUUCAAUGCAAUCCCAUGAAAUAGGAUGCGAUAACGUAGAGUAAAAAUUCAAAGGCCCAAAAAUUGGCCUAUGCGAACGCAGAGAAAGUCAUACGAUCGCAGAAGGGGAGGAAACAAGUAUAUGCAAUCGCAACCUGGGUCCUGCGAUCACAUAAAAGGAAUUGGGCCCUGAGACACCGACUCAGCUUAUUUAGUGCGAACACGAGAAAGGGGUUGCGAACGCGAAGAAGGGGGAGACGGUGUUAUGCGAACGCGAUCAGGUUCAUGCGAUCGCAUAGAAGGAAUUUGCCUCCUCCGCAAUUUGCACUACGCGAUUGCAUGGAUAGGAAUGUGAUUUCAGUGAAGGAAAGUUCUGCAACAGCACAACAGAGAAACCUGCAACUCUUUUUCAACAAAAACAAAUGCCCCGUUGAGCAUCCGAAAUACACCCGAGGCCCCCGGGACCUCAACCAAACCCACAGACAUAUCCCAUAACAUCAUUCAAACUUGUACCAACCCUUAAACCACCUAAAACAAAGCCAAAUACUCGAAUUAAUCAAUUAUUUGAACCUAGGAACUUCAAAUUUCAACCAAACUCGUUUUCGAUCAAAAAUCUAUUCAAAACACGUCCGAUAGACCUGUAAUUUUGCAGGCGCAUCCCAAAUGACAUGACGGUACUACAAAAACUAAUGAAAUUCUAUUCCGACCCUCAGAUAAAAAAUUCUCUAUCAGACCGGAAACUUGAAAAAUUCAAACUUCGACAUUUCAAGCCCAAAUGUGCUACGGGCUCCCAAAAUACACUCUGAACACGCCCCUAACCCCGAAAUCACCUAACGGAGUUAACGGAGCCAUCAGUUUUCCAUUCCGAAGUUGUCUUCACACCGUUCCAACUAUGGACCACUUUCCAACACUUAAGCACUCAUUUAGGGACUAAUGUCCCAAAACACUCCGAAUUCUAAUACCGAACGUCCUGGAAACCCAAAAUAGCAAAAAUGAACUUAAAGCGGUAAAUGAGGGAUCGUGGCAUAAAUUCCAAAAACGACCGGCCGGGUUGUUACAGUUAGCAAAAUUAUCUCUCUAUGUUAUGGUGAUUGUAUUCUAUUUCAACACAACUUCAGAGGGCAGCGAUGAAUAAGAUUUUUUUUAUCUUAAUUUUCGUUCUACUUAUUGUUAAUAUGAUUUGAUUUGCUGUAUGCACUUUGGAUUAACCUGUUUGCUAAAUAAAAAUUCAAUUGUUUAUUCUAAAAUUAAUUAUUCGGUUAACAUUUUGGCGUCCACUGUGAGUCCCUAUCCAUUGAGUGUUUGAUCUAAAGUCACACAACUGCUUUUUUAUUUUCUGUUAUUCUCAAGUGUUGAUUAUUUAUUCAAGGGAAACCCAUGUUUGGGAUCAACAACCAACCCAUGGAUGUAACCGUUCAACUAGUGGAACAAACUUGGAGAACACGGACUUCAAACGAUCAAUCAACUGGACCUUUAUUUCAUUCCAGGAAAAUCUCCAUUGCAAGAUCUACUAGUAGUGGGUCAUGAAUGAUGAGGGUUGGAGAAGACGGUGAAAGAAUUAAUCAUGUAGAAGCACUAGUUGAAUGCCCAAAUCGGAUCGGUAUUGAGGGCUCUGGCAAGUGGUGCAACAGUGGCAACACCAACCCCGCCUCUGAGGGUGCAUGCAUGUUGUCAUGGAGACUCACAACUUUAAAUUGAUAAAUAUGGAGCAGGGGGACUCACGAAUGAUACCGAGGUUAGGGUUCGGGCAUGUCCAAAAAUGCUGAGUAAUAUAAUUUAAUUCUUACCGUACAAUAACAUGUCAAGGAAUAGAACGAGAUGAUUGAACAGAUCUAUGGAGUUCGACUUAUUAUCAAGGGAAUAGAAAUAAAUAAACACUCUCAGCAGCCGUGGAAGCCGAGUGCAGCCUUACUCUCAAUUUCGAAGAAGUUCAAAAUGUCAGACAUCCUGAUCGAACCUGAGACUUUUGUGUCAUGUCAUGUAUUAUAUAACUGGAAUCAAAGGGAACGAUCUCACGAAGGAAGAAAUCGAGUCUGUACUCGUCAAGAAUUUCAUAGAAACCCUGACCAAAGGAGCUCUAACUUUGUACUCUCACUUACUAGAGAACUCGAUUAAUGUUUUUGCUGAACUUGCAUAUACUUUUAUCAAAGCAUAUUGCGAAACGCAAAAGGUAGAGAGACAAAUGAAGGACAUUUUUAAAACCCAACAAGGAGACAUAUAGUUGUUUCGAGGCUUUAAAGAUCAAUUCUCGAGAGAAAGGAUACUGCUCCUUACCGUGCCGUACAACUAGGCAUCCACGAUUCACAAGAAACCUGAAUGAAAAUAGUUAGGAAGCUAUGAAAACCUUCAUGAAUUUCCAGUCAAAAAUGGAAUGACGUGUAUCAUAGAUACAUCAGGAAGCUCAAAAUAGAAAAUUUUAUUUCAACACUCCUCGAAUUUGGAAAUAAGGAGACAAAGGGAAACGACCAUCGACUGGAAAUAAUCGGUGGGUGAGAAGAUCCCAGACAUCUAUACUCCAAAGUCUUGUACAAGCCCUAUUCUGGGCCCCUGCAUUGAGAAAAUAACUGGAGGGCACAUGCCAACUCAUGCCGCCAAAGGCCCUGGACAAAGAAAUAAUAUUGUACUAUAUCAAGCGAGCUGGGAAAUAAUCAGAAGCACCAAAAAUCAGUGGCUAUCACCACAUGCCAAGUUAGGCGACUAGAACUUCAAUGUCAAGAUGUCAGAAUUGGUAGCAGCAGUCAAAGAUAUAGAAAAUAAAGUGAGACAGCCAAAAGGAAUGAGGAUGGAUCCAAGAAAAUAUAGCCAAAAAUUCUGGUGCAAAUUCCGUAAUAAUCAUGGUCACAGGACCACCGACUGUUGAGUCCUUCAAAAUGAAGUAGACUGUGUUCUCAAACAAGGGUAUUUCACUGAACUCCUUAGCGAAAAGGAAAAACAAUGGUAUAUGAAGAACAGAGGUAUAGAAGAGCCACCACGAGUCCCGUCACGAAGAAGUGAUCUUGACAACCUUUUCAGAGGGGGUGGUCAAAGAAACCCCAUUCCACAUCGUAGUUGGAGACAUGUCUACAAUGCCAUCCUAGGAAGACCAUGCAUUCACAAAAUAGAUAUAGUCCUAUCAAUGAUACACAAAGUUAUUAAAUUUCCAUCAAAGUGGUAAAGAAAUCCGAGAGGAACGAAGAGCAUCCAGAGAGGUCAACUCAAUUGCAGCUGCAAGCAGUCUCCCCAAACACGAGCCGACCAAAUAUCAACCAAAGCAGCUUGAAUCCCAAAGCGUUAAGGCACCGCCUGCGAAAGUUAAGUCUAGUGAUUUUGAACUUGAGAUCAAAAUGUUUUUGAUAAGAUUUCUGAACCAGAAGAGACUGAUGCCCCAAAUUGAGUGUUGUGGAACUAGAAGUGGUCCUCUUUAUCGACUUCCCGGAAAGGAAGGUGUAUGUGGGGUUGGGACUUAACCCUGAGCUAAAAUACGAUUUAAUUAAACUUUUAUACGCUAAUGCAGAUUUUUUGCUUGGUCACAUGUAAACAUUAUAGGGAUUCACUUCGAAAGUAAUGACUCACAAGCUCAACAUAGAUCCCAAUUACCGACUAAUCAAGCGGAUAAAAUGGACGCAAGGUAGUACUGGAAUGAAGUCAUUAACAACAAAAUCUCCAUACUAUUGAAGAUCAAUUCAAUAAGAGAAUUCAAGUAUCUGGCAUGGUUGAAAAAUACCGUUGUCAUUUCAAAGAAGAACGGCAAAUGAAGAGUGUGUAUCGACUUCACUGAAAUAAAAAAGUAUAUCCUAAAGAUUCUUUUUUCUUUGCCCCAAUUGAUAAACUUAUAGACGCUACUGCUGGCCACAAACUACUGAGCUUUUUGGCCAUCUACUCCUAAUAUAACCAAAUUAGAAUGGACCUAGAAGAUCAAAAGAAAACGUCCUUCAUAAUUAAAAAGGGAUCUAUUAUUAUGACGUGAUACCAUUCGAUCUAAUGAUUAUGGGAGAAACAUAUUAGAGGCUGGUCAAUAUGAUAUCCAUAGUUUACAUUCGAAAGUCUAUGGAAGUUUAUAUCGACAACAUGUGUUGGCCCAAGAACAAGUGAAGUUUUGAAGAAUGACAACAGAACUCAGUCAUAGACCAGGUCCAUCAUGUAAAGCACGCUGUUUUAUCAGCCUAUACAUGUGAGAUGCACGUGAAGGAGAUAAGUCCUAUUGAUCAAGCAGCAAUAUCUCUUGAACUGACUUAAUAGGUUGCAUAUGGGAUAAGGAGAGAAAGUCUCCUUAUGUGAAGAGAACACAAUCUGAAUAAAAGAUAGUGUUGGAGUUUGUGUUGUUCAAGGACUCAACUUCGAUUAAAGAUCACCAAUCGAGUCUCGAUCAACCUGUAAUUACUUACUUAUUAAAUAACAGUAAUUGUUCUCUUUUAUAGGUAUUACACAUAUGUAGAAGUUAAACUAAAUUGAGAGCAAAAGAGCAAGGCGAUUUUGCAAGCAAUUUACGUGAGAUUUAAGUGUGCACGCCUGAAGCUACUUGAACGAGAUAGAAGAACCAGUUCAAUUGUGUUUUCCUUAUUCUAGUUCAAUUGUAGUAGGUGGUUUAAAGUUGUACCUUUCAGCUUUGCCACACCUCCUUUUUGCACACCUACCCCGAGGGAUAAAUGCAUAAGGGAGUUUUUUCAAUUUAAGUUACAAUAUUUGAAAUGGGAUUAUUUUAUUUAUUUAGAGUCGCCCUUGGGAAAGGUUUGGCUUUUGGUGUCCCAAGUCACGGGUUUAUCUUGAAUCCCAAUUCGAGGAAAAUAUUCGACUUUCCAAAUGAAGCCUGCGAACCAGAAUUUCUAAGUAAGGAAUUUUGUUGACCCGAGGGAAGGUGUUAGGCACCCCUGGAUCCCGUGGUUCUAGCACGGUCGUUUAAAUUGUUGUAAAUGGCUAAAUAUAUGAUUUUAAUACAUGUCAUAACUUAUGUGCUUUUAUUUAACAUUAAACCGCUUUUAUUAUUAUUUUUAAUAGAAUUGUAACGUCAUGAAAAUGAAUUUCGAACCACGUUGCAAUUAAUGCACCCGUCGUUGUUAAUAUAUUCCGACUCCGUUGAGAUUUGAAUUUGGGUCACAUAAAUGAGCGCCCGAGUUUAAGAAGGUAAAUUAUUAAAAGCGCGUCUAAAGUGACUAGCGCAUUAUUAUCUUUGAGAAGGGCCGUGAAAUUCACUAAAUGGCCCAUCCAAAAUUCUAAAUAUUUUAUUUCAAUUGUUGAGAGCGUCACAAUUUGUGUAUUAUUUGUUUAGUGAGGCUUGUCUCAUUUUAUUUUUAAAGGAAUAUUUAACUAAAGCAAACUAAGGAUGUUCAAGAUUAUUCUCCUAAGCUAGUGAUUAUUAGAAGGCCAUGGAUUAUGGAAUUAAAAUAUUUGGCUUUUCUUACAUGCUAUUUCGGACCAGAUAACAGAUAGCCUAAUUAAUUUGAAACAUUCCCCAUAGCCCCCGAAUCAUUCUGCCUCUCUAUUCUUUAUUACCAAAUUAUUCUUCAAGAAUUAAUAUGAAUCUAGGCACAUGGAAAGUUUUCAAACACUAAAAUUAUAUAGAAUAAAUUCAACACAUAAAAUAACAAAUUAGUCUAUCUAACAUGUUUCCAAACAAAUCAAGCAAAUAUAUGACGGAAAAGAAAAGGAGCAACUAGAAAUAAGAAUUAAAAAAAAACGUAAGAACAGUUGAUCAAUAAAGGAUAAGAAGAACUAACUUUUCAAAUUAUCAAAGACCUUUCUGCUUUGGAUUAACGACGAAAACUCAAUACGAGUACAUUGAAGAAGAGAAUACAUCCAUAUCUUGAAUUCUAACAAAACCAAUCGACCAAAGACCACGGAAACCUCAAACCGACGACCUCGAAUGGAAUAGCGAACAAAACCUUGGAGAUAAACAAUCGAUGGAGGACAGUCAGACCAGAACUCGACUCGACACCGGAAUGAUGACCUCAAACCAUUUUGAGCUUCGACGGAGCUGGACUGGUGUAGUUUUCCGGCGGAGUUUGACGUGAUGAAGCUUGUCGCGGAUGGGGUGGAGAAGCAGCAACGGCAGCGUGUGGAAGCAGGCUGGAAUAGUGGUUUCUCUGCUGCUGGUGGCGUCGUGGUGAGCUGAAGAAGAAAGCAGCAACAUUUGGUUGAGGAAAGGGGUCGUUGGGUUGAAGCUAGCAGGAGGUGGUCGCUGGACUGUUUGGUUCCGGUGAGCUGUUUUGGGCAGCGGGAGGUGGGUUCAGCUGGUUUCAGGCAGGGGGGAGAUAGGGACGACGAACUGGUGGACUCGCUAAGGUUCUUGCUGUUGUUUUGUUUUAGGGGUUUUUAGAGGUUCAUCAAGAAGAGGAAGAUGAAUAGUGAUAUGGGUCUUGUGUGUUGUCUGUCUCCAAAAAUCUGACGAAGAAGUGUGUGUAUUUUAAGAAGUUGAAGAAUGAGAAGGAAGGGGCAAGGUGAAACGUGGGUGAGUUGGGGAAAAGGGAUAAAGUGAGGGGAUAAGGAAAAGUGGGGGACAUGAGUGGGGAAUAAAGAGAAGAAGGGGUUAUGAGUGGA
rnacentral:lncRNA from 1 species